UUUUUUUUAGCUUAGUCACUGUGUACGAGCAGGCAAAUGUAAGUGCGUGACGUACGUAACAUAACGUAAAGGAAGGGAAUGGUUACCGCUAGAAGAUUGUAAAAAUUUUCCCAAGAAACGACACUGCAAGUUAAAAGUCCCUUUUUGAACAGUAUAUUAGGGAGAGCACAACUCUAAGGCACAUUCAAUAAGGCCUCAGAGCCCGGCUUACAUUAUUGA